rnacentral:rRNA from 1 species
GACGAACGCUGGCGGCGUGCCUAAUACAUGCAAGUCGAGCGAAGUUUUUCUGGUGCUUGCACUAGAAAAACUUAGCGGCGAACGGGUGAGUAACACGUAAAGAACCUGCCUCAUAGACUGGGACAACUAUUGGAAACGAUAGCUAAUACCGGAUAACAGCAUUAACUGCAUGGUUGAUGUUUAAAAGUUGGUUUUGCUAACACAAUGAGAUGGCUUUGCGGUGCAUUAGCUAGUUGGUGGGGUAAAGGCCUACCAAGGCGACGAUGCAUAGCCGACCUGAGAGGGUGAUCGGCCACACUGGGACUGAGACACGGCCCAGACUCCUACGGGAGGCAGCAGUAGGGAAUCUUCCGCAAUGGGCGAAAGCCUGACGGAGCAACGCCGCGUGAGUGAAGAAGGAUUUCGGUUCGUAAAGCUCUGUUGUUAGGGAAGAAUGAUUGUGUAGUAACUAUACACAGUAGAGACGGUACCUAACCAGAAAGCCACGGCUAACUACGU